rnacentral:rRNA from 1 species
AGAUUGAACGCUGGCGGCAUGCUUUACACAUGCAAGUCGAACGGUAACAGGCCGCAAGGUGCUGACGAGUGGCGAACGGGUGAGUAAUGCAUCGGAACGUGCCCAGUCGUGGGGGAUAACGCAGCGAAAGCUGUGCUAAUACCGCAUACGAUCUAUGGAUGAAAGCGGGGACCGAAAGGCCUCGCGCGAUUGGAGCGGCCGAUGUCAGAUUAGCUAGUUGGUGGGGUAAAGGCCCACCAAGGCGACGAUCUGUAGCUGGUCUGAGAGGACGACCAGCCACACUGGAACUGAGACACGGUCCAGACUCCGUACGGGAGCAGCAGUGGGGUAAUUUGGACAAGUGGG